rnacentral:rRNA from 1 species
GACGAACGCUGGCGGCGUGCUUAACACAUGCAAGUCGAACGGAAAGGCCCUGCUUUUGUGUGGUGCUCGAGUGGCGAACGGGUGAGUAACACGUGAGUAACCUGCCCUUGACUUUGGGAUAACUUCAGGAAACUGAGGCUAAUACCGGAUAGGAGCUCCUGCUGCAUGGUGGGGGUUGGAAAGUUUCGGCGGUUGGGGAUGGACUCGCGGCUUAUCAGCUUGUUGGUGGGGUAGUGGCUUACCAAGGCUUUGACGGGUAGCCGGCCUGAGAGGGUGACCGGCCACAUUGGGACUGAGAGACGGCCCAGAGUCCUACGGGAGGCAGCAGUGGGGAAUAUUGCACAAUGGGCGGAAGCCUGAUGCAGCAACGCCGCGUGCGGGAUGACGGCCUUCGGGUUGUAAACCGCUUUCGCCUGUGACGAAGCGUGAGUGACGGUAAUGGGUAAAGAAGCACCGGCUAACUACGUG